UACGUAGGGCGCAAGCGUUGUCCGGAAUUAUUGGGCGUAAAGAGCUCGUAGGCGGUUUGUCGCGUCUGCUGUGAAAACCUAAGGCUCAACCUUGGGCUUGCAGUGGGUACGGGCAGACUAGAGUGCGGUAGGGGUGACUGGAAUUCCUGGUGUAGCGGUGGAAUGCGCAGAUAUCAGGAGGAACACCGAUGGCGAAGGCGGGUCUCUGGGCCGAUACUGACGCUGAGGAGCGAAAGCAUGGGUAGCGAACAGG
rnacentral:rRNA from 1 species